AUUUAUUUGUUUUAUUAGUGGGUAUAGCACUGAUUAUCUAAUAAUAUUUAUUAUUAGAAAGGAGUAUGAAAGUACUUACUUUGGAUAAUUAAUCUCAAAAUAACUAAUAAAGAGUUAGAUAAGUUAUCAGACUUUUUGCGAUAAGGUGGAAAGUCAAAAGGGAAACAGCCCAGAAUAAUGUAUAAAGUUCCAAAAUUGUUAUUCAGUGAAAUAAAAG
rnacentral:rRNA from 1 species